rnacentral:rRNA from 1 species
CCUACGGGAGGCAGCAGUGAGGAAUAUUGGUCAAUGGCCGGAAGGCUGAACCAGCCAUGCCGCGUGAAGGUCAGUGCCCUAUGGGCGUUAAACUUCUUUUGUGCGGGAGCAAUAAUGGUCACGUGUGGCCAGACGAGAGUACCGUACGAAUAAGCAUCGGCUAACUCCGUGCCAGCAGCCGCGGUAAUACGGGGGAUGCAAGCGUUAUCCGGAUUUAUUGGGUUUAAAGGGUGCGUAGGCUGGGAGGUAAGUCAGCGGGGAAAUGCCCUCGCUCAACGGGGUGAAGUGCCAUUGCUACUGCCUUGCUGGAAUGCGGAUGCCGUGGGAGGAAUGUGUGGUGUAGCGGUGAAAUGCAUAGAUAUCACACAGAACACCGAUUGCGAAGGCAUCUCACGAAUCCGCGAUUGACGCUGAUGCACGAAAGCGUGGGUAUCAAACAGGAUUAGAUACCCCAGUAGUC